ACCUAUAUUACACAAAUAUGCAAAUGAGGACGUAUCUCUUGGUUCUUGGUUUAUUGGGCUGGAAGUUGAGCAUAUAGAUGACAGGAACAUGUGCUGUGGAACUCCACCAGAUUGUGAAUGGAAAGCCCAAGCAGGAAAUGUAUGUAUUGCAUCAUUUGACUGGAGUUGCAGUGGAAUUUGCAAGUCAGUUGAGAGGAUAAAGGAUGUCCACAAACGUUGUGGGGAAGGAGAUGGAUCUGUAUGGAAUUCUCUCUUCUAAGUUCAAUCCAGGCUUUCAGUUCCUGGCAGUUCCCAGUCACAUGUUCAUUAUCUUCACAACAGCAUACUAUGCAAUUGUAACAAACAUUCAGACUGAAGAAAGUUUACUUUCUCAGUGUCAAAAAUAAGAUAGCGACACACAGUUGAUGCUUAAUACAUGCAUUGCUGUUGAUUUCUUAGAUGGUGGUGCAGUGUUGGAGAAUCAUGAUAUUUUGAGCCAUUAAAAUGGCUAACAAGGAGCUUCUUUUAUUCAUGUUCAGAGUUCAGUUUUUACAUCAUGAAAUCAAUAGUUUUAUAAUAGGUUUCAUUUACUCUUUCAUGUAGGCAAGGAUAUGCCGUUAAAGUGUAGCUUUUGAGCUCCAUUUCUGCCAUAUUAUGUACUUGAAGAUGUAUGAUUGAGUUAAUUCUGUUAUACUUCUAAAGAUUGAAAUUUUUUGUUGUUGA